AGGAUAAACGCUGGCGGCGUGCCUAACACAUGCAAGUCGAACGCGCUUUCGGGCUUCGGUGCGAGAGCGAGUGGCGGACGGGUGAGUAACACAUGGGUACCUACCUUGGAGUGAGGGAUACCGGCGAGAAAUCGCCGACAAUACUGCAUAGGCUUCUUCACAAGGGAAGCAAAGUGACGCGAGUCACGCUGUGAGAUGGGCCUGUGGCCGAUUAGCUAGUUGGGGGGUAACGGCUUCCCAAGGCGACGAUCGGUAGCUGGUCUGAGAGGACGAUCAGCCACACUGGGAUUGAGAACGGCCCAGACUCCUACGGGGGCAGCAGUGAGGAAUUUUCCGCAAUGGAGGCAACUCUGACGGAGCAACGCCGCGUGCAGGAGGAAGGUUUUCGGAUCGUAAACUGCUUUUCGUCGGGGACGAGCAAGGACGGUACCCGAUGAAGAAGCCCCGGCUAACUACGCGCCAGCAGCCGCGGUAA
rnacentral:rRNA from 1 species